rnacentral:rRNA from 1 species
UGAGUGAUGAAGGUUUUCGGAUCGUAAAACUCUGUUGUAAGGGAAGAACAAGUGCGUUAGGUAAUGAACGCACCUUGACGGUACCUUAUUAGAAAGCCACGGCUAACUACGUGCCAGCAGCCGCGGUAAUACGUAGGUGGCAAGCGUUGUCCGGAUUUAUUGGGCGUAAAGCGCGCGCAGGUGGUUUCUUAAGUCUGAUGUGAAAGCCCACGGCUCAACCGUGGAGGGUCAUUGGAAACUGGGGAACUUGAGUGCAGAAGAGGAUAGUGGAAUUCCAAGUGUAGCGGUGAAAUGCGUAGAGAUUUGGAGGAACACCAGUGGCGAAGGCGACUGUCUGGUCUGUAACUGACACUGAGGCGCGAAAGCGUGGGGAGCAAACAGGAUUAGAUACCCUGGUAGUCCACGCCGUAAACGAUGAGUGCUAAGUGUUAGGGGGUNUCCGCCCCUUAGUGCUGCAGCUAACGCAUUAAGCACUCCGCCUGGNGGAGUACGACCGCAA